rnacentral:rRNA from 1 species
GAGAUUUUCGCAAUGCCCGAAAGGGUGACGAAGCGACGCCGCGUGCGGGAAGAAGGCCUUCGGGUUGUAAACCGCUGUCGGGAGUUAAGAAAUGUAAGGAUGUUAAUAGCAUCUUCGCUUGACUAAGGCUCCGGAGGAAGCCACGGCUAACUCUGUGCCAGCAGCCGCGGUAAUACAGAGGCGGCAAGCGUUGUUCGGAAUUAUUGGGCGUAAAGAGCACGUAGGCGGCUAUGUAAGUCGGUUGUGAAAGCCUUCCGCUCAACGGGAGAACAGCAUCCGAUACUGCAUGGCUUGAGUGCGGGAGGGGAGAGUGGAACUUCUGGUGGAGCGGUGAAAUGCGUAGAUAUCAGAAGGAACGCCGGCGGCGAAAGCGGCUCUCUGGCCCAUAACUGACGCUGAGUGUGCGAAAGCUAGGGGAGCAAACGGGAUUAGAUACCCCGGUAGUCCUAGCCGUAAACGAUGGGCACUAAGUAGAGGGGUUUUA